GGUGGCUCAGUGGUAGAGUGCUUGCAUUGCACGCAUGAGGCUCUGGGUUCAAUUCCUCAGCACCA
rnacentral:tRNA from 1 species